ACCCGAUGCAAACUGCGAAUACCGGAGAAUGUUAUCACGGGAGACACACGGCGGGUGCUAACGUCCGUCGUGAAGAGGGAAACAACCCAGACCGCCAGCUAAGGUCCCAAAGUCAUGGUUAAGUGGGAAACGAUGUGGGAAGGCCCAGACAGCCAGGAUGUUGGCUUAGAAGCAGCCAUCAUUUAAAGAAAGCGUAAUAGCUCACUGGUCGAGUCGGCCUGCGCGGAAGAUGUAACGGGGCUAAACCAUGCACCGAAGCUGCGGCAGCGACACUGUGUGUUGUUGGGUAGGGGAGCGUUCUGUAAGCCUGUGAAGGUGUGUCGUGAGGCAUGCUGGAGGUAUCAGAAGUGCGAAUGCUGACAUAAGUAACGAUAAAGCGGGUGAAAAGCCCGCUCGCCGGAAGACCAAGGGUUCCUGUCCAACGUUAAUCGGGGCAGGGUGAGUCGACCCCUAAGGCGAGGCCGAAAGGCGUAGUCGAUGGGAAACAGGUUAAUAUUCCUGUACUUGGUGUUACUGCGAAGGGGGGACGGAGAAGGCUAUGUUGGCCGGGCGACGGUUGUCCCGGUUUAAGCGUGUAGGUGUGUGUUCCAGGUAAAUCCGGUUCACUUUAACACUGAGGCGUGACGACGAGGCACUACGGUGCUGAAGCAACAAAUGCCCUGCUUCCAGGAAAAGCCUCUAAGCAUCAGGUAACAUCAAAUCGUACCCCAAACCGACACAGGUGGUCAGGUAGAGAAUACCAAGGCGCUUGAGAGAACUCGGGUGAAGGAACUAGGCAAAAUGGUGCCGUAACUUCGGGAGAAGGCACGCUGACACGUAGGUGAAGUGAUUUACUCAUGGAGCUGAAGUCAGUCGAAGAUACCAGCUGGCUGCAACUGUUUAUUAAAAACACAGCACUGUGCAAACACGAAAGUGGACGUAUACGGUGUGACGCCUGCCCGGUGCCGGAAGGUUAAUUGAUGGGGUCAGCGCAAGCGAAGCUCCUGAUCGAAGCCCCGGUAAACGGCGGCCGUAACUAUAACGGUCCUAAGGUAGCGAAAUUCCUUGUCGGGUAAGUUCCGACCUGCACGAAUGGCGUAAUGAUGGCCAGGCUGUCUCCACCCGAGACUCAGUGAAAUUGAACUCGCUGUGAAGAUGCAGUGUACCCGCGGCAAGACGGAAAGACCCCGUGAACCUUUACUAUAGCUUGACACUGAACAUUGAGCCUUGAUGUGUAG
rnacentral:rRNA from 1 species